rnacentral:rRNA from 1 species
UGGGGAAUAUUGCACAAUGGACGGAAGUUUGAUGCAGCGACGCCGCGUGGAGGGUGUAGGCCUUCGGGUUGUGAACUCCUUUUUCUCGCGAAAAAGGCACAGUUUUGUCUGUGUUGAUGGUAGUGGGGGAAGAAGCGCCGGCUAACUACGUGCCAGCAGCCGCGGUAAUACGUAGGGCGCGAGCGUUGUCCGGAUUUAUUGGGCGUAAAGAGCUCGUAGGUGGUUCGUCGAGUCUGUCGUGAAAGCCAGCAGCUUAACUUUUGGUCUGCGGUGGGUACGGGCGGGCUUGAGUGCGGUAGGGGUGACUGGAAUUCCUGGUGUAGCGGUGGAAUGCGCAGAUAUCAGGAGGAACACCGAUGGCGAAGGCAGGUCACUGGGCCGUUACUGACACUGAGGAGCGAAAGCGUGGGGAGCGAACAGG